rnacentral:rRNA from 1 species
AGAGUUUGAUCCUGGCUCAGAAUGAACGCUGGCGGCGUGCUUAACACAUGCAAGUCGUACGAGAAAUCCUCUGCUUGCAGGGGAGAGUAAAGUGGCGCACGGGUGAGUAUCGCGUGGGUAAUCUACCCUUGGAUUCAGGAUAACAUUUCGAAAGGGGUGCUAAUACUGGAUAAUAUCCUGAUGGUUUUGGCCAUAAGGAUCAAAGAUAGCCUCUACAUGUAAGCUAUUGUACAGGGAUGAGCCCGCGUACCAUUAGCUAGUUGGUGGGGUAAGAGCCUACCAAGGCGACGAUGGUUAGCUGGUCUGAGAGGAUGAUCAGCCACACUGGAACUGAAACACGGUCCAGACUCCUACGGGAGGCAGCAGUGAGGAAUUUUGCGCAAUGGGGGAAACCCUGACGCAGCAACGCCGCGUGAGUGAAGAAGGCUUUCGGGUCGUAAAGCUCUGUCAAGAGGGAAGAAAGUGGGAGAUGGUAAUACUGUUUUCUAUUGACGGUACCCUCAAAGGAAGCACCGGCUAACUCCGUGCCAGCAGCCGCGGUAAUACGGAGGGUGCAAGCGUUGUUCGGAAUUAUUGGGCGUAAAGCGCGUGUAGGCGGUCUGAUUAGUCUGAUGUGAAAGCCCUGGGCUCAACCCAGGAAGUGCAUUGGAUACUGUCAGACUUGAAUACGGGAGAGGGUAGUGGAAUUCCUAGUGUAGGAGUGAAAUCCGUAGAUAUUAGGAGGAACACCGGUGGCGAAGGCGGCUACCCGGACCGAUAUUGACGCUGAGACGCGAAAGCGUGGGUAGCAAACAGGAUUAGAUACCCUGGUAGUCC